UACGAAGGGAGCUAGCGUUGUUCGGAAUCACUGGGCGUAAAGCGCACGUAGGCGGAUUUGCCAGUCAGGGGUGAAAUCCCGGGGCUCAACCUCGGAACUGCCUUUGAUACAGCAAGUCUUGAGUUCGAGAGAGGUGGGUGGAAUUCCUAGUGUAGAGGUGAAAUUCGUAGAUAUUCGCAAGAACACCAGUGGCGAAGGCGGCCAACUGGUCCGAUACUGACGCUGAGGCGCGAAAGCGUGGGGAGCAAACAGG
rnacentral:rRNA from 1 species